rnacentral:lncRNA from 1 species
GCCGGAAGCCCAAGGAGAUUUUUCUUCAAACUUACUGUGAGAACCUGGUCAGGCUGCCAGAGGUUUCAGCUCAUGGGUUUCUGCUUUGAGUGGGAAGUUGUCGCUGGCACUGGAUGCCGUGUAUUUUGCAGUCUCCAUGAAAGUUCAAGAGACAUGUGGAGAUGAGGAGCUGGGUAAGCAAGAUAACUGAUGUAAGUUCAAGCAGAAAAAGCUGUAUUUCUGUUCUUCUAGGGCUGAAGAACUCCUAGCAACAUCUAGUCCACUGUGCUGUGUGGACUCCUGGGGAGGGAUGGGUCCAGAGACCUUUAGGAGUCAUGGUAGUGUUACCGGCUCUUAGUUAAUAUCAGCCCUGAUAUUAACAGUGAACCCAGUGAACCCAGCACAUAUGGGUUAAGACUAAAAGCACACAUUCCCAGCUCCCUCAUUCUUUAGUUACACUCAUAUGUAAAUGCUUGUUUCUUUAGCCUCUGACUCCCUGAGCCAACUAGAACUUACAAAUUAUUAAAGUCCAAAUGACCUCAUGCUGAGUUCCCACUAAAGUUGUGGCUAAUCACGGGGACUUCAAG